rnacentral:lncRNA from 10 species
GGCAGAAGGGACUUGCCUUGUCUCAGAUGAGACUUUGAACUGUGGACCUCUGAGUUAAUGCUGAAAUGAGGGGCAGAGAGAUGGCUUUUUCAGGAUGGCAGCAAGGAACAUUUCAUGGAGCACACAUUGGAUUUGAGCUUGCCCUUGAGGAUCUGGACGACAGAAAAAGGACGACGGGAGUUGGGGAAAUGUCUGUUCUUUGGGUCCUGUGAUGGCGGUCACCUCCAGCCUGAGAUCACUGCGAAAAAGGAUUCUUCAGGGAAAAAGAUGACACGCAUCAUUAAAAUAAGCGAAGGGGAACUCUGAGAGCUCUACCGUUUUCCGUAGGUCCCACCACUCAUCAGAGUCACAGAGCAAAGCUGCAUACCUGGGUGCCAGACGCCAGCCACUCUCCACCGGCACUGCGUUGGGGGUGAGCUUCUUAACAGGUGGUGCAAACAUGAAUGCUCUCCACCUGCGGGCCCCAGCUACACCUCAGAGCAAUCUCGGAGCCUUUAUAAAUAAAAAUGUCUCAAGUCC